GACGAACGCUGGCGGCGUGCUUAACACAUGCAAGUCGAACGGAAAGGCCCUGCUUGCAGGGUCCUCGAGUGGCGAACGGGUGAGUAACACGUGGGUGAUCUGCCCUGCACUUCGGGAUAAGCCUGGGAAACUGGGUCUAAUACCCGAUAGGAGCCAUUCUUAGUGUGAUGGUUGGAAAGUUUUUUCGGUGUAGGAUGAGCUCGCGGCCUAUCAGCUUGUUGGUGGGGUAAUGGCCUACCAAGGCGGCGGCGGGUAGCCGGCCUGAGAGGGUGGACGGCCACCUUGGGACUUAGGUCCGGCCCAGACUCCUACGGGAGGCAGCAGUGGGGAAUAUUGCACAAUGGGCGCAAGCCUGAUGCAGCGACGCCGCGUGGGGGAUGACGGCCUUUGGGUUGUAAACUCCCUUCGCGAGGGACGAAGCUUUUUGUGACGGUACCUAGAUAAGAAGCACCGGCUAACUACGUG
rnacentral:rRNA from 1 species